ACUCUGUCUCUUACUUUCGUUGCAAAGUUGGAAUUUAUUCCCAACCCAUGAAUAAUUUCUUUCAUUUAAUUUUACUUUUUUGUCUUAAUCAAAAUGUAUAAGUUUUCUCAAUAUAUUUUGUACUCUGAGUUGCGGCUGUAAAAUACUCGAAAGCCAUUUAUGAAUGAAUAACUCGGACUAUUAUGUAUUACAUGCAACACAUUUAUAAUAAAGCAGUUACACCUGUAGACAAUUCAAUUUGAUUGGGCUUAAUCGACUAGAAAUUUAUUGUAGUACGGGAUGGAGGAGAGCCGUCUAAAAUCCUUAAACCUUUGCGUGUUCAGUUUCAAUACAUAGAGUUUUCAGUUCUGCAAUGGAGAAGAAGCACACGACCGGUAUGUAUCUCAAUAUUUUACUGAUGUUUACAAAUUGGUUUCUGCAUUAGCUGUGUUUGCCUCCAUAUACACCGAUUAACUUGAAAUUUAUUUGACCGUUCAUCGUAUUUGGUGUUGCCGAAAGCUGUGAUUAUAAGGAUAAGAAUCACUCCCAGUCAAUUAUUAUUUCAGCACUUGCCUUCAGUGUGCUUCUAUGCUUCUAUGCUUUACUCUAUGACAUAAAUAGUUUGGAUUGGACUUUCUGCAUUAUCUCAAUUUAUUAUGGAUGCUAGCAUUGCAGGAAUAAAGUUCACCUGUAGGAUAUAACCAUCAAGCUAAUCAGUGCAAGGAGCAGGGUGAGCUAAUUAUUGCAGAACAGUAACUACGUUAUGCAAGGAAAGAAAUUAACCAGGCUGUACAUCAGGUGAGAGAAGUCGCCAACAUACAUUCAAGUAUGUAGCGCACUCUAUUCUGGACAUUCUUAGCCUUGAGUUGAUCGAUCUGGUUCUAAUUAUAUCUAAUUUGUGGUGUCUUCUGGAUGAUGAUUAAAGAAGAAAGAGAGCAAAAAAAGAGCCACGAGAAAAGAACUAUGAACACUUUGAAAAGUUAUGCUAUGGAAUAAGCAGAAGAACAAAAAAGAGUACUGCAAUGAACAAUCUGAAAACAGUAGUGGAUAAACACAACAUCAUUGACAGGUACGAGACACAAAAUGAGGAAUGCCAGAAUAUUGGUGAUAUGCAUUCUUCUACUGAUGAGGAUAAGAGAGCAAAGGCACAAGAGAAUACUGGGAAACAAGAUAUGUUGCUCCCGACUAGCCUCAAUACUGCUAAUGGACAAAAUAAAGGUGGCAUGACCAUGGUAGACUUGGGUUCCAUAUAAGUUAUACUUAACACCGGACUGAACCAAAGGCAUGGCCCUGACAUCCAAAAUGUCAUUGAACAACUGGUGGUGGAGAGUGAUGAGGACAGUGUUUCAAUGGAGCAUAUACAGAUGAUGAUGAAAAGGUAGCGGACAGUUUGGUACAAACAUUUGCACUUACAUCCAUUGAAGAUGAUUUAAGGCGCAGUUCGGUUCGUCGAAGUGGGGGAUAAGAAUUUUGGAUGUUUAAAAUACAGGAAUAACCACUGUCUAGUCCCUUCCAUGAGCAAGAAAUUGGGACACCCACUGGAUAUUUUUAUGUUAAUUCGAAAACAUCAAAGUAAAUCCAAAAUGAAUUUACCUGGUACUGGA